rnacentral:lncRNA from 1 species
GAUAGAUUUUUUGCUAUUGUAGAGACAACACAAAAUAAAAUAUUAAACAACUUAAUAAGGGUUAAUGAUUUAUCAUUUUGUGUUUUUGUUUGUGACAUUGGUGUUAAUGGUACUAACCUUAGAAGCUAGAAAAAUCUCUUCCGUGGGUGAAUUCUGUGGGCAUCUGGGGUUUGGGAUAGAGUUAACCAAAAAUUAUUAGGCAUGCUCUUGUGUCUAAAUAUCAGUCACUUCCCCGAGCACUCUUUCCUUCCGUUGUCAUUGUGGUGGUUUGAAUGAGAGUGACCCCAGAGGGUCAUAUGUUUGAAUAAUUGGCUCCCAGUUAGUGAACUGUUUGGAAAAAAUGAGAUGUGGCCUUGUUGGAGAAGACAGAUCGCUGGAGUUGGUCUUUGAGGUUUCAAAAGAUGCAUGCUGUUCCCAGUGUGCUCUGUCUCCUGCCUGUGGUCUGAGAUGUGAGCUCCCAGCUGUUCCUACCACCAUCAAGGUACUCUUGCUGUUGCUCCAUCAUCGCAGACUCUAACCCUCUGGAAUCAUACGUUCAAUCAGGGCCUGUGUGGCUGUGCCACCAGCAAUCUUUCAACACUGAAAAGGACAAAGAAAAUCCAUUACUCUGUUACAAGAAGAAAGAAUUUCUAUGGCAAAAAGGAUGAUGAGAAGAAUGGCUAAUGGGUUUACAGGAACUCUUAACACAAAGCUGGGUGUUCAGAUACCAAGAGUUUGUAAAAAAAAAAAGAAAAAAAUACGCAAUCCAAGGCAAGCAGUCAAGGACCACAAGACAAUGUGUGUAUGAAACUUCCGGACCUCUCCAUGACCUUUGCUGCAUGCAUGAGGAGAAACGGCCUGCUAGAACAGAUCUGCAAAGGAUUGCUCUGCCUGAGGCUGCCUGAGCUUACAACUGCAGUCUGAAGGGAUAAGGAACUUGAAAGGUGUCAGGCCACCACAAUAACAUGCACUGUUUGUGAAAUGGGAAUAAAUCCCAUCUGAGUCUAAGGACUGUGGACAGAUACCAUGUCUGUCCACAUAACUUGUUUCAGACUCUUCCCCUGCUCACUUCCUUCUGAGUGGCCUCUCCCGUGCAAGUGUGGAGGCUAAAGAAGAAUCAACUCUCCAAGCAACCUCGAUGAGAGAAACGAGCUUUGGAUACUUCGAAAGCCUCCAUGCCGUGGACCAGGAAGAUGACCUGCUUGCCACCCUUUCCCCUGUGUUUAUACAUUCCAGAGUUCUGCUCUUAAGUAUACUUUGAAAACUCCCUUGGAAGAAACCAAAUAUGCCUUGUUCCAGGGUUGCUUUGAAUGUUUUCAGCUUGUAGUCAUGGUUGACAUAACCUAAUUCAAAACAUAUUGGAAGCACAAUGGCACCAAACCUGGGUCGGGAGCCUCAAUGUUUCUCUUGAAUGGGUUCACUUGUUUUCUCUUUUGCUGUAAUUUUUUUUUCUCCAAACUCACAGUCAAUGUUUAUGAUUUGUAUCUGAGAUAUAGCUUCAAAAAUAGGCAUGCUGCUAAAUUUAUGCUAAAGGAGGUAAGAAGAAAAAAAACUAGAUAAAGAACAGGAGAGAAACAGGGGGAGAAUAAAAUUGAACAGGCAAAGAGGAGCCGGUGAGAAGUCCCAGUAGAGAAAGAGCUCGCUGUGCGAACCUGGAGGCCUGCGUUUGGUUCCUGGACCCCAUGUAAAAAUGGAAGGGAAGAACUGAAGAUACAUAGCUGACCCCUGACCUCUGCAUGUCAGCCGUGGUGUAUCUGUGUGACUGCAUACAUUCAUUACACACAGGAAGAAAGUAAAAAAGGAACAUUAAAAUAGGAACCAAAGAUUUACUAGACUAAAAUUGAUCCUAGAAACAAUUUUCGGUACUGGUCCAGGGCAUUGAUUGACAGGCAAAGCCCCCCAUUUGCAUCCUUAGGGACACUGAGAUGGUCGAGCUGGCUCUUGCAUGUCUGCCUGGGCAUCGUGUCGUCAUGCGAAACAAGUCUGUCCUCCAUGCAUAACAGUGCAGCAAGUCUUUGAAAAAUAUCAAAAAUAAAAUUUCCAUGUGAUUUCCCCCAAAUUUUACUUUGGGAUCUAUAUAUCCAGAACAUUUGAAAGCAAUAUCAAAGCAGAUAAAGAAGAGUUAUUCACAGUAGCUAAGAGGUAAACAUAAGUCAGAUAUCCAUUAACAGAUGAGUGGAUAAAUAAAAUGUGGUACAUGUACACAUGUAUACACAUGGAACUACUAUUCAGCCUUACAGAAGAAGGAAAGUUUGAAGCAUGCUAAGGCAUGGAUGUCUGUUAAGUGGAAUAAACAAUCACCAAGGGAAAAUUCCACAGGAGUCCACUCAUGUGAAAUAUCUAGACUAGUCA